UGGGGAAUAUUGGACAAUGGGCGCAAGCCUGAUCCAGCCAUGCCGCGUGAGAGAUGAAGGCCCUAGGGUUGUAAAGCUCUUUCACCGGCGAAGAUAAUGACGGUAACCGGAGAAGAAGCCCCGGCUAACUUCGUGCCAGCAGCCGCGGUAAUACGAAGGGGGCUAGCGUUGUUCGGAUUUACUGGGCGUAAAGCGCACGUAGGCGGACUUUUAAGUCAGGGGUGAAAUCCCGGGGCUCAACCCCGGAACUGCCUUUGAUACUGGAAGUCUUGAGUAUGGUAGAGGUGAGUGUAAUUCCGAGUGUAGAGGUGAAAUUCGUAAAUAAUCGGAGGAACACCAGUGUCGAAGGCGGCUCACUGGACCAUUACUGACGCUGAGGUGCGAAAGCGUGGGGCGCAAACAGG
rnacentral:rRNA from 1 species